UUUCAAUUUGAGAGUUUGAUCCUGGCUCAGGAUGAACGCUGGCGGCGUGCUUAACACAUGCAAGUCGAACGAA
rnacentral:rRNA from 1 species